rnacentral:rRNA from 1 species
CAUAUCAAUAAGCGGAGGAAAAGAAACCAACCGGGAUUGCCUCAGUAACGGCGAGUGAAGCGGCAGCAGCCCAAAUUUGAAAUCUGGCCCCCUCGGGGCCCGAGUUGUAAUUUGGAGAGGAUGCCUCGGCGUGGCCGCCAGUCGAAGUCCCUUGGAACGGGGCGUCACAGAGGGUGAGAAUCCCGUCCGUGGCCGGCGGCCUCCGCCAUGCGAGGCUCCCUCGACGAGUCGAGUUGUUUGGGAAUGCAGCUCUAAGUGGGAGGUAAAUUCCUUCUAAGGCUAAACAUCCGCCAGAGACCGAUAGCGCACAAGUAGAGUGAUCGAAAGGUGAAAAGCACUUUGAAAAGAGGGUGACACAGCACGUGAAAUUGUUGAAAGGGAAGCGCUUGCCGCCAGAGCGGGCCCCGGGGGCUCCGCCCGUCCUCGGACGGGCGCCCUCCCCCGGGGUCCGGCCAGCAUCAGCCCGGCCGGCCGGAUAAAGGCCGCGGGAACGUGACACCUCCGGGUGUGUUAUAGCCCGCGGCACAAUGCGGCCUGGCCGGACUGAGGUCAGCGCCCCAGGCACGGAUGCUGGCGUAAUGGCGGUCAGCGGCCCGUCUUGAAACACGGACCAAGGAGUCUAACAUCCAUGCGAGUUUUUGGGUGUCAAACCCGCGAGCGCAAUGAAAGUGAACGGAGGUGGGAGCCCUCGGGCGCACCAUCGACCGAUCCUGAAGUCCUCGGAUGGAUUUGAGUAUGAGCAUGGCUGUUGGGACCCGAAAGAGAGUGAACUUUGCGUGGGUAGGGUGAAGCCAGAGGAAACUCUGGUGGAGGCUCGCAGCGGUUCUGACGUGCAAAUCGAUCGUCAAACCUGCGCAAAGGGGCGAAAGACCAAUCGAACUUUCUAGUAGCU